rnacentral:rRNA from 1 species
UACGAAGGGUGCAAGCGUUACUCGGAAUUACUGGGCGUAAAGCGCACGUAGGCGGAUACUUAAGUCAGGGGUGAAAUCCCGGGGCUCAACCCCGGAACUGCCUUUGAUACUGGGUAUCUCGAGUCCGGAAGAGGUGAGUGGAAUUCCGAGUGUAGAGGUGAAAUUCGUAGAUAUUCGGAGGAACACCAGUGGCGAAGGCGGCUCACUGGUCCGGUACUGACGCUGAGGUGCGAAAGCGUGGGGAGCAAACAGG